AUAAUAAUUUACCAGAAUUCUAAUGCUGCCUGUAGUUGGUACAUAUAUAGAUGUACUUGUAUUUUUAGUCAAGAUUUAUCUAGAUUCUAGAAAAUGCUCAUGUUAUCAAACAGUUUUUAAGGUUAAUUCUGUAGGUUCUCAGGAUUAAGCUCCUGGAUUCACUACUGUUAACAAGGACACAGCCAAGGAAAGGGCAUGUUACAAUGAAGAAUUCUUGUGCCACACCCCACUGCUAAAAGAGAGCACCACAGAGUGGAGAGGGACACUGAGAGGAAGGGGAGAAGAAUGGCAGAAGGGACACUAAACCACAGCAGACAAGAGUUUUUCAGAAAGGUCCGUCUGAGAGCUUUACUCUUCAUCCAGCCCUUUCUGGAAGGGGAAAGAGAGACAGACUGGACUCAGCUCCAGCAUAGUUGGCAAAGAGGGAGGCGAGAAGCUUGAGGGAAGACUUCUGGUAGAGCCCGACCACAGUCUCAUUCAGAGG